rnacentral:rRNA from 1 species
UACGAAGGGGGCUAGCGUUGCUCGGAAUCACUGGGCGUAAAGGGUGCGUAGGCGGGUCUUUAAGUCAGGGGUGAAAUCCUGGAGCUCAACUCCAGAACUGCCUUUGAUACUGAGGAUCUUGAGUUCGGGAGAGGUGAGUGGAACUGCGAGUGUAGAGGUGAAAUUCGUAGAUAUUCGCAAGAACACCCGUGGCGAAGGCGGCACUCUGGGACGGUACUGACGCUGAGACGCGAAAGCGUGGGGAGCGAACAGG